UGGGAACGUGCCCUUUGGUUCGGAACAACUCCGGGAAACUGGAGCUAAUACCGGAUAAGCCCUUCGGGGAAGAUUAUCGCCAAAGGAUCGGCCCGCGUCUGAUUAGCUUGUUGGUGAGGUAAUGGCUCACCAAGGCGACGAUCAGUAGCUGGUCUGAGAGGAUGAUCAGCCACACUGGGACUGAGACACGGCCCAGACUCCUACGGGAGGCAG
rnacentral:rRNA from 1 species